GUGUGUGUGUGUGUGUGUGUGUGUGUAGAAACCUCAACCAAUGAUACAGUUUUAGGCUGAGUCCUCUAACUUUUAUUGGCCUUUGUUUCAUUGCCUUUCUAGAACGAUAUUUAUUUAUUUGUGUGUCUGUGGAUGGGAGAGCAGGUGUAGUCAGAAGACAGUCUGUUCUCUCUACCAUGUGGGUCCCAAGAGUCAGACUCAGGCCAUCAGCUUAGGGCCUUAUCUCCUGAACCGUUUGCCCUUACUGAGCUUAAAAGUGUAAAAGCUGGGUUUGAUCACAGAAUAGGUUUUACUGUUGCUGUUGUUUCUUUUGCUUUGAGACUUGGUUUCAUCUCCCCCGAUAUCUGAAGGUGGCCUUGAACCCCUGAUUCUCCUCUUUCCACCCUCCUAGUAUUUCUAUUAUGGCAUGCACCACCAUACCCAGCUUCAGCUCUAGUAGUAUUCAGUCUGGUACAUUGUUCGGGGUUUGUACUCAGCAUCUUGUUACAGUACUAUUAGGAGUAUGAAUUUUGUGUCAAAUAGACCUAUAUUUCUCCUUAUUUAAUCCUUUAAAGCCUGUUUUUUUUCUGUUUAGAAAAUGAGAAGAUUAAGUGAUACACCACUUAGUAAAAUACCUGACAUUAAGAGUCCAGUAGUAUCUGUUUUUAUUAUACAGUCCGUUUUUAUUAUACAGUCCUUACCUCAUCUGAAAGUCUGCAGCUGGAAUCUGCUCCCGGGAGGGGGAGCUUUGGAUGCUCACCUUAUCCUUUGCUGCAUAUCCAGCUGCCCCAACAGGAACUUUGUGUGGUAUUACUCAUUUGCUUUGCUUGCUUUUCUCAGGGUUGAUUAGACUGAGCUGAGCAGUUGCUCUCAGUUGGAGUCUGCUACAGCUGACCAUGCAGGGAUAGAGCAGGGCUUCAAAUACGACUCUGGCACCUGUGCUGACAGGACUCCAACAGCCAGGCCUCGAAACAGCUAGAGCUCCUUAGGCAUCUCUUUUCUCCGUCUGCACACACUCUGUAGAAUCUCUCCAUUUCCCUUCUUGGUGCUAGGCUCCAUUCAUUGUGACUUGAGGUUUUUCUGAGCAAGCACUCCCAGAACAUUUGCAGAGCCUCAGGCGUCUGCUAGUUGGAGUUACAAAGGCCUGCUCAGAAUUAGGGAGGAAAUGGAAUAUAAGCUGCUGUUAGAUAGGUAAGUAUGGAAGUAGGUAAGGAAAGGAAAAG
rnacentral:lncRNA from 1 species